CCUACGGGUGGCAGCAGUGAGGAAUAUUGGUCAAUGGACGAGAGUCUGAACCAGCCAAGUAGCGUGAAGGAUGACUGCCCUAUGGGUUGUAAACUUCUUUUAUAUGGGAAUAAAAUGUUCCACGUGUGGGAUUUUGUAUGUACCAUAUGAAUAAGGAUCGGCUAACUCCGUGCCAGCAGCCGCGGUAAUACGGAGGAUCCGAGCGUUAUCCGGAGUUAUUGGGUUUAAAGGGAGCGUAGGUGGAUUGUUAAGUCAGUUGUGAAAGUUUGCGGUUCAACCGUAAAAUUGCAGUUGAAACUGGCAGUCUUGAGUACAGUAGAGGUGGGCGGAAUUCGUGGUGUAGCGGUGAAAUGCUUAGAUAUCACGAAGAACUCCGAUUGCGAAGGCAGUUCACUGGACUGCAACUGACACUGAGGCUCGAAAGUGUGGGUAUCAAACAGGAUUAGAUACCCCAGUAGUC
rnacentral:rRNA from 1 species